rnacentral:rRNA from 1 species
UGCCAGCCGCCGCGGUAACACGGGGGGCGCAAGCGUUAUUCGGAAUUAUUGGGCGUAAAGGGCGCGCAGGCGGCCUUGUCAGUCAGAUGUGAAAGCCCGGGGCUCAACCCCGGAUGGUCAUUUGAAACAGCAAGGCUUGAAUACUGGAGAGGAGAGAGGAAUUCCUGGUGUAGAGGUGAAAUUCGUAGAUAUCAGGAGGAACACCGAUGGCGAAGGCAUCUCUCUGGACAGAUGUUGACGCUGAGGCGCGAGAGCGUGGGGAGCAAACAGGAUUAGAUA